rnacentral:lncRNA from 1 species
AGCACACCCUGGAGUUAUGCAACUUGGAGGGGCAGAGCCCAAUAUUUGUGGAAAGGAGGCUAAGGGCCAUAUUCUCUCUCUGCCUUCCUCUUGAUCUGCUGACCUCUCUAAAAUCCUUUCCAAGACUUCUAAUUCUAAACCUUCCCAUAUUUCUAAACCUUCCCUGUGUUAGAAUGGGGAAGCUGGCAUGAAGCGCUGGGCUGAUUUUGUUUGUUUGUAGUUUCUGUUCAAACUUGGACAUCUUAUUUCCAAGAGAUGUGAGAAAUGCACUGGAUAAGCUGUCCACAGCAGUUUCUCCUAAGGGUUCCUGCCAAAAACUGCAUGGGAUUUCAGGGUCUGGUUUGCUUCGCCUCCUUCAGGUAAGCUUGUUUAUAAAAAGGAAACAUUUGUGCAGCUCAGCAGAUUUGAGAGACCCAGUGGGAAUGGCUGUUUAUUUGUCUUUUAAUCACAAAGCCUGGGGUUUGGCUCCAAGGCUGAAGGUCUUGAGGCCUCUUUAUCUCCUCCCCCUGAGACUUUAAUCUCUCUUCUGACAUUCCUUUGGCUCACAGGGUGCCUUGGGAAUUGGGGAAAGAGGAGGUUGCAGGUGGACAAAGAUUUCUGGGCCUCAUCAGAGUUUCUGUCCUUAGUGUGACCUCCCACCAGGGACUAUGGUUCCUUUUGAGAUCAGUUCCAGAGCCUAACCUCUCCCUCCUCUUUGUCCUACAAACAACCAAAAGGAAGAGAAAACAAAGCCACCCACCCUCCCCAAACCCCAGGAAACGUUUAUUUUGAGGAGUGAAUCUCUUGUGUUUGAAGCCACAUCUUAUCACUCGCCUUUUAUGGAAUCUGAGAGAUGAAGUGAGGUGAAGGGUCACGGCGUGCAAUUCACUCAUUUUAUAGAUGAGGACACAGCAAUCCUGCAAUCCACAGGGGUGCUGGUGUCUGUCCGAAACACACAGCUUCUCUGUAAAGGUUGCUGGACGGGUCCCCUGUUGUGUGACCCCCUCAGGCGAUUUUCAGGGCACCCCAUGACUGUGUGCAAUGUGAGCUGUCUAUGGCCAGCCCUAAACCUCAGCGAGCAGAGACUAUUUUCUUUGAAUCAGCAUGCACCACACCACGCCGUGCUCCCCACAGGGGCACAUAUUGAGAAAAUGAAAUUCAAAUCACCCCUCUGGUACGCUUUGUGCUCCCUUUCCUGAUUACACACACAGAGAAGCCUAUUCUGCAGGUGACCAGGUGGGCGUGUAUAGGGCCAGGCAGCGAAGCCUGCAAGAAGGACACCCGGGUUCUUUCCUGUCUCCAGCUGCUUCUGACAGGAACCCCAGAGCCCAGCCUGGGGCUGAGAACAAGUUGGGCCUCCAUGAGGGACUUUGAUCCUUGACUGGUCUCUUGCUUCCCUAAGAAGUUGAACAACCUUUUAGGGUAUAUGGCUGCACCCAUGUUCCACCCCCUCCCUUGGCCCUAGGCCAAAUGAACACCUGGGUGUUGGGUGACCUCAAGAGAUUGUGAAUCCACUUUGAGCCUUAUUCCUCGAGUCAUUCCGCUUCCCAGCAGAUUGUGUGAAGUCUCUCUUUAAAAAAAUAAAUAAAAAGUCUGAGCUCAGUGAAGUGAUUUUACUCAUGCAGAAAACUAUAAAGGUAAAAGAUGAAACUCUGAGAGCAAACCUUUGUGCUCUCCGGGUCUCCUGGAAAAAGAGGGCAGGCAGGGCUUGUACACACGAGGCAGGAGCUGCUUGUGCAGAAAUGGAAAUGCUCCCCCGUCUUUCCUUCCACACUAAGUUGCUUCAUUAUAUUUUCAGGCGAGCGAGUCAUGGGGUCCUGGUGUGCGGUGCUGUCUUUUUCAAUUAAUGCUUUUCACAGAAGUUCAGGUUUUAAACAUCUCCCCCUCUCUUCCCAGGUCUGUUACAUUUCCCAGAAUGGUUCCCAGCGCUGGAGAUAAUUCCUUUUCGGAGAACCUACAUUUCUCACCUGCUGAUUGCAAUUAGCCACUGCCAGCUGGGGCCUGGUGCGCAGCUGAAAAGCUAACAAGAAGUGGAGACCACGCGGAACCCAGACAGGGCAUAGGAGGUGCAUGAAUAAGGAAUGGUGCCCAUGUUUAUGAGAUGCUCCUGUGAAUUUGAGGCUUCCCAACCCUUUGCAAAGCCCUCCCUCUUCCAGCCCUAUGCCACCCCCACCUCCCUAUUUUUUUUUUUUUUUUUUUUUUUUGGUCUCUGGGUUUGUAGCCUACACUUAACAUCACAGUCACGAAUUUACCACUAAGUACAUUUUGUUAGGCAAUAAACAGCCUUGGAAGAAAAAUGAAAUGCAACUAGGACUUCUGUUCCAAUAAUAUUUGGGAGCUGUGGUGGAUUCAAGCAGGUCUCACAUGUGAGUCUUAGAACUAACAUUCACCAUGAGGGCUGACAGGGUUUCCAGAAGCCUUGGGAACCCUUAAUCUGACUCCCUCCUUUUGCGGAUGAAGACAAUGAAUCCUAGAAGGGGAACAUGGCUCAUCCAAAGUCUUAGAGGAAGUUGUAGGACUCGGUGAUGUCCAUGUCACCUGAUGUCCAGCUCUGGGCUCUAACUACUGAACAGGCUUGCUUUUGACCAUCCUGGCCUGUGAGGGAAGCAUCAAGAAGAUUGCCCAGAAUUAGAAGCCAGUGUCUUGGACAAUGUGGCCUCCAACCCAAGGCAACCUUGUUUCUUUCCCCAUGGGUCAAUCCUGGCCCCUGGGACCAAUGAGAAUACCCCCGGGCACUUUUGUCCAGGGUUGAUACCCAGUUUCCGUGGCUCAUAGCUGCUGACUCCAAUCCUGUGACUGCCCCCUAUGGAGGGUAUUCUCCCACUUUGGGGCUAUCUUGGAAUUGGCAACAGAGGGGACUGAUGCCCAGCCAAGGGGCAAUUAGCAGCUGUCCCUGGUCACUUUGCAAUGUAAAUGGAGGAAUAUCAACAUGGUGAGGUCUGGGCUUAGGGUGUGAACAUAUUCGUUUGGUGGGUUUGAGCUUAAACUUUCCAGCCCUUUCUACUCAGAGGGUAGGACAUUCUCUGCCCUACUCACCUUCCACUAGGAGAUCCUGAUUAUAAGAUUUCUGUUCAGGGAGUUGGAUAGGCUUCUAGGCAGUAAUGACAAAACCUGGAUUUUGAACUCCAACCUCAGCUCCAUUUUGUGGUUGGCAUAUCUCUCAGCCUGUUUUCUCAUCCAUAACACAAACACUCAUGAUACAUAUUAGUCCAUUCCCAUUACUAUAACAAAAUACCAGAGACUUGGUACUUUAUAAAGAAAAGAGCUUUAUUUAGCUCAGAGUUCUGGAGCUUCAAGAGCAUAGUGCUGGAUUCUCCUCAACUCUGGUGAAAGCCUCAUGGUGGAUGGAAUCAAAAUGGUGGGAACAUGUGUGGAAUGGGUCUCAUGGCAAGGCAAGAGCAGAGAGGGGCAAGGUUUGCUCUUUCAUAAGAACUUGCUCUUGUGGGACCAGGGUCUCUUGACAACUACAUUGAUCACUUCUGAGGGGAGUAUCCCAAUGAUCUAAUCAUCUUCCACUUGGCCCCACCUCUUCAAGGUUCCACCACUUCCACACCACUACAUUGGUGACCAAGCCCUGAGAACAUGAAAUUUUGGGGGAAAAUACACAUCUAAUCCAUAGCUUAAUGUGUGGCUUAUUGGGCUUUUUGAAAGGGUAAGGGAAAGAGACAUAGUUAAACGUGGGUUUUCUGUAAGUGUUCACUUUCCUUCCUCUAGUACUAACUUUCCAUUUUACUGAUAAAGAAAACCAAGGUCUAGAGAAAUAAAGAUACCCUCCUAAAGCUACUUACUCAUUCAUUACUUUCACUCACCUACUUUGCCUCCUAUGAGGCACUCAGGGAGGAAACCAGAAUGAACUUUACUAAUACAAAGUUCAUUCUGCAAACACAAGUUUGGUAAAUGUUUAACAAUUAGCUCAGAGGUCAGGAGAGGGAAGGUGAGGAGAAAGUUCGGAUUUGUAGUGUUGCUGGUUGUUAUUUUAAGGUAAUCUAUAUGUGUAAUCAUAAAAAAUUAUACAGGGUGAUCCCCUCUCUCCUUGAUCCAGUUUCCUCCAAUGCAAAAUUGCAGAACAAUGUCACAGCCAAUAUAUUGACAUGAUAUAAUACAUCGAUAUUUAUAUUUGCCCAGUUUUAUUUGUACUUGUGUGUGUGUGUUUGGUUCUAAGUAAUUUUAUCACAAUAUAUAGGUUCCCAUGGUCAACACCAGUCAAGGGACAGAACAGUUGAUUACCACAAGCACCACUCUUUUGCCAUCUUCACCUUCCUCCUUGUGUACCUUGCCUUUGAUCUUUAUACCUGACAACCUUUAAUCUGCCAUUUAUGU